ensembl:rRNA 5S_rRNA 5S ribosomal RNA
GUCUAUGGCCAUACCACCCUGAACGCGCCCGAUCUCGUCUGAUCUCGGAAGAUAAGCAGGGUCGGGCCUGGUUAGUACUUGGAUGGGAAACCACCACCUACAUUUCCACUCUUGUCUCAGGCAACCACUAUGGCCU